CCCUUAGAUGUUCUGGGCAGCACGCGCGCUACAAUGGUCUUCGCAAACGGAUGCAUUCUCGAAGGAGAAUGCCAAUCUUGGAAUCUAUGCCUUGGUCGGGACAGUUGCUUGCAAUUUUUCGACUCGAACCAGGAAUUCCUAGUAAGCGCGAGUCAUCAGCUCGUGCUGAUUACGUCCCUGCCCUUUGUACACACCGCCCGUCGCUCCUACCGAUUGAGUGCUACGGUGAAUAAUUCGGACUGCAGCAACGUUCGGUUCCUGAAUGUUGCAGUGGAAAGUUUAGUGAACCUUAUCACUUAGAGGAAGGAGAAGUCGUAACA
rnacentral:rRNA from 1 species